rnacentral:lncRNA from 1 species
GAAAAUCCCAGCAUGACCAAAAUAAAAAAACUGAACAUUUAAUUUAAUGAGUUAUGUAACAUGGUGCAUCAAUUGGGCAAACUUCCACUUAUGCACUAGCAGACAAAACAAGGGGCGGAUGGCUGGGAUUGUGUGGGCGCGCGCGGGUUCGUACCGUGUCUAAUGCGGACGUGUGUUAAUUUCCAUGCAAAUGAAAAAGAAAGCCAUGAUGGCAUACGUGUGAAACGCAGUUUUUUUUUUAAACUUCCAAC